CAGUUGCUCUCUCAAUCAACUGCCAUAUCUAAAAUUGCAUUCGUCUUCUUCAAAUUUCUACAGAACGGAGUAUUUAUAUUUUAAUCAGAAAUUUGAUCUAACAGCUUAGAGGAGAGAGUGUAAAUUCGCAAUAUAAUGGAGAAGAACAUCGAAAGUCACGAAUUCAAGCUUCUGCUCUCGUGCCCCUCCGGUAUCUCCCCUGCUCAGAUGUCAGUGGCUUUCGAUCAAGCUUACGAUAGGAUUCCGCAUCCAGAUCCUGCAUUGGAAAGUUCCAUUUCUGAGAUAUGGGACCAAAGAGUUCAACAAAGCCCGUCAUUGUUCAAUGGUCUAAAGUUUAGGUAUGGAGGAUUCACUUUCAAUUCCAUGAAUGAUUCUCAGCAAGAGCCCCAUGUUUCCCUUCAUCUUGGUCUGACGGAUUAUAGGACAUUUGUGGGCACCAACUUGAGUCCUUUGUGGGAAAGAUUUCUUGUUCAAUCUGAAGAUGACUGCAAGCAGUGUCAGCAUACAUCAAGUCCUCUUGGCAAUGGUGCAAUUGUUGAGACAUCUGACAAAAAGAUACUUGUGCUUAGAAGAAGUAAUAGGGUGGGAGAAUUUCCAGGAUAUCUUGUUUUCCCUGGAGGCCACCCAGAGCCCAAUGAGGGUGGAGUGACAUGCCAUAAGAGUGAUAUGGACCUGAAUCACAGUGAUAUAAUUAACAGGAAGGUUUCUGAAGAAAUGUUUGAUAGCAUUGUCCGUGAAGUUGUAGAAGAAACAGGAGUGCCUGCAGCGAAUCUAUCCAGUCCCAUCUUUAUUGGUGUAUCACGAAGGGUGUUGAAUGUUAGACCAACUGCUUUUUUCUUCAUAAAAUGCAAUCUUCAGUCAAAUGAAAUUCAGCAUCUAUAUUGUAAUGCAGAAGACAGUUUCGAAUCAACCCAACUGCAAGCUGUUUCAAUGAGUGAUUUGGAGAGCAUGGGAAAUAAAAUGCCAGGGUGCCACAGUGGAGGACUUGAACUGUACAAAUUAAUGCACAAGCCUUGACAGAGAACUAAUGUUGUGGAAUCAAACCUUAAUGGUUUUUCUAUCCUAUAAAGCUCGAUCUAUUAAUAUGUAAUUGUGAGUUUCUAUGAAAAUCUCUUCCUGUGUCAGCCACUGAGUUGGUAAACAGGUCUGAACCUUGUGCAUUGGGAGAGUUCCCCAAAUCUAGGGAUAAGUCCAAAGCUAAGCUAACCCUUUUGGACCUAAUGUUUGUCAUGACUAGUAUGUGAACACUGCCCAUAAUCAAAUAUCCAUUUUUGGAUGAGCCUAUGAGGAAAACAUUCUAUACUGCAGUUUGCUUCAGUUGUCUGAUCUGAACGAUUUGUUUGUUUCUCAGUCAAUUAUGGAGGAAUCACAUAGAGGACGUCUCUCUCAAGAAUUUAGUCGAUGAUGAUGACUACCAGGUGCUUUCAUUAUCAUUAAUUUCGUUCUUAUUGCUAAUUAUUAUAUGUGCAGUGUGGGUAAUGUAAAUGAAAGAAAUUUGAUUAGUGAUACAUUAUUUAAUCAGCUCAAUAAGGUCAAUACAUAACCAGGUAAGUCUGUGGAUGUCCCUUUCAGUUCAAACGUUUCUGGUUCUUUAAUUGCUAUAAGGUUCCUCAGUCAACCUAGCUGUUCUGCGUUUUAUGUUCAUGCAUGAUUCAUGUGAA